UGGGGAUAGAGGUGAUAUUGUUCAUGGGACACGAAUCCUUGUAUGCAGACUUGCUUAGAAAUGAUACUAAACAAAUUCUUGAUGCUUUCAGGCUGCUCAAGGUUGUAUUGUGAAACCAUCCCACAUGCGGCAAUACAACCACGGGUUCUCAUGAUGAGGAGUACUGCAUCAAGCAUCUUUCCGCCAACAUUAUCGAAGUAGAUAUCAAUGCCUUCAGGGAAGCACCUGGUGACAAGCAGAACACAGGUGUUAACCUUUUCAAACCUGCAUCCAACUCAUGCUCUUCUUUAUAAUUGAAAGCUUCAUUGAAACCAAGCUUGUUCUUCAGCAGAUCAACCUUGGCAAGAAGAAGAUGAUAACAAGAAAAUGAAAAGGUGAGUCUUCCACCUCUGGAUUUCUCUUUUAUCUAGCAGCAAGAAAAACAGGAAUCUUGCAGAAAAAUUGUUUAAAAAAAUUGCCAAUAUCAUGUGGUACACUACCUUUUCUUUACUUCCCAACACUUCCAACAACGUAGCAACCCACCAACUUUGCAAACUGACCAACUGCA